rnacentral:rRNA from 1 species
UACGUAGGGUGCGAGCGUUAAUCGGAAUUACUGGGCGUAAAGCGUGCGCAGGCGGUUUUGUAAGCCAGAUGUGAAAGCCCCGGGCUCAACCUGGGAACUGCAUUUGUGACUGCACAGCUGGAGUGCGGCAGAGGGGGAUGGAAUUCCGCGUGUAGCAGUGAAAUGCGUAGAUAUGCGGAGGAACACCGAUGGCGAAGGCAAUCCCCUGGGCCUGCACUGACGCUCAUGCACGAAAGCGUGGGGAGCAAACAGG